AGGGGUGUAGCUCAAUUGGUGGAGCAUCGGUCUCCAAAACCGAAGGUUGCAGGUUCGAGUCCUGUCGCCCCUG
rnacentral:tRNA from 1 species